rnacentral:rRNA from 1 species
CCCUUAGAUGUUCUGGGCCGCACGCGCGCUACAAUGAUGAAUUCAACGAGUUUAUAACCUUGGUUGAAAGGCCUGGGUAAUCUUUUGAACUUUCGUCGUGAUGGGGCUAGACCCUUGCAAUUAUUGGUCUCCAACGAGGAAUUCCUAGUAAACGCAAGUCAUCAGCUUGCAUUGAUUACGUCCCUGCCCUUUGUACACAUUGCCCGUCGCACCUACCGAUUGAAUGGUCCGGUGAAAUCUUCGGAUUGAGACUUUGUUUUCUUCACGGAAAACGCUGUUUUAAAAAGUUGAUUAAACCUUACCAUUUAGAGGAAGGUGAAGUCGUAACA